rnacentral:rRNA from 1 species
UACGGAGGAUCCGAGCGUUAUCCGGAUUUAUUGGGUUUAAAGGGUGCGUAGGCGGGAUAAUAAGUCAGUGGUGAAAGUUUGCAGCUUAACUGUAAAAUUGCCGUUGAAACUGUUAUUCUUGAGAGUAGAUAAGGUAGGCGGAAUGUGUUGUGUAGCGGUGAAAUGCAUAGAUAUAACACAGAACCCCGAUUGCGAAGGCAGCUUACCGGGCUACAUCUGACGCUGAUGCACGAAAGCGUGGGGAUCAAACAGGAUUAGAUACCCUGGUAGUCCACGCAGUAAACGAUGAAUACUAGCUGUAUGCGAUAUAGUGUAUGUGGCAAAGCGAAAGCAUUAAGUAUUCCACCUGGGGAGUACGUUCGCAAGAAUGAA